rnacentral:lncRNA from 1 species
CACCAAAAUAUUGACAGAGGCUGUCUCGAGGUUGGUGUGGGUCAAGGGGAGCUGAAGAUCAACUUCAUGCCCUUUGAUAUUCGGGAGAGAUCCAUUGGAGCUGACUUUCCUUCAACCAGCCUCAGCGUGAAGGUGUUAAACUUACUCUGUUCUCAUCACAACCUUAUCAGGGCCACACUUGGGCAUAGCCAGAAAAAAAAAAAAAAAGUUUGGGAGAAGGUCAGGUACAUGGAAUUAUCCUGUGAAUAGCACAGUUAAAUAGCAUUAUGUUGUGUAUGUUAAAACGGGUCAGCUUGUUAAAUGUAAAUAUUUAAAUACACUAUACAAACCUCUCGUGGCACGUGUUCAUUCUUCUUUUCCCUGGAUU